rnacentral:rRNA from 1 species
AAAGCUCUGUCUUUAGGGACGAUAAUGACGGUACCCAAGGAGGAAGCCACGGCUAACUACGUGCCAGCAGCCGCGGUAAUACGUAGCUGGCAAGCGUUGUCCGGAUUUACUGGGCGUAAAGGGAGCGUAGGUGGAUAUUUAAGUGGGAUGUGAAAUACUCGGGCUUAACUUGAGUGCUGCAUUCCAAACUGGAUAUCUAGAGUGCAGGAGAGGAAAGUAGAAUUCCUAGUGUAGCGGUGAAAUGCGUAGAGAUUAGGAAGAAUACCAGUGGCGAAGGCGACUUUCUGGACUGUAACUGACACUGAGGCUCGAAAGCGUGGGGAGCAAACAGGAUUAGAUUACUGGGGAAAGUCAAACA